rnacentral:lncRNA from 1 species
CCUGUGAUGAUCACCCAAGCCCCAGGCUGUCUUAGCCCCUGGAGUUCAGAAGUCCUCUCUGUAAAGCCUGCCUCCCACUAGGUCAAGAGGAACUAGAGUACCUUUGGAUUUAUCAGGACCCUCAUGUUUAAAUGGUUAUUUCCCUUUGGGAAAACUUCAGAAACUGAUGUAUCAAAUGAGGCCCUGUGCCCUCGAUCUAUUUCCUUCUUCCUUCUGACCUCCUCCCAGGCACUCUUACUUCUAGCCGAACUCUUAGCUCUGGGCAGAUCUCCAAGCGCCUGGAGUGCUUUUUAGCAGAGACACCUCGUUAAGCUCCGGGAUGACCUUGUAGGAGAUCUGUCUCCCUGUGCCUGGAGAGUUACAGCCAGCAAGGUGCCCCCAUCUUAGAGUGUGGUGUCCAAACGUGAGGUGGCUUCCUAGUUACAUGAGGAUGUGAUCCAGGAAAUCCAGUUUGGAGGCUUGAUGUGGGUUUUGACCUGGCCUCAGCCUUGGGGCUGUUUUUCCUUGUUGCCCCGCUCUAGACUUUUAGCAGAUCUGCAGCCCACAGGCUUUUUUGGAAGGAGUGGCUUCCUGCAGGUGUUCCACCUGCCUUCGGAGCCUGCCACCCAGGCCCUCAGAACUGAGCCACAGGCUGCUCUGGCCAGGAGAGAAACAGCUCUGUUGUUCUGCAUUGGGGGAGGUACAUUCCUGCAUCUUCUCACCCCCUCAACCAGGAACUGGGGAUUUGGGAUGAGAUAUGGUCAGACUUGUAGAUAACCCCAAAGAUGUGAAGAUCGCUUGUGAAACCAUUUUGAAUGAAUAGAUUGGUUUCCUGUGGCUCCCUCCAAACCUGGCCAAGCCCAGCUUCCGAAGCAGGAACCAGCACUGUCUCUGUGCCUGACUCACAGCAUAUAGGUCAGGAAAGAAUGGAGACGGCAUUCUUGGACUUCACUGGGGCUGCUGGAUUGGAUGGGAAACCUUCUGGAAGAGGCAGAUGGGGGUCAAACCACUGCCUUGGCCCCAGGAAGGGGCCAUAGGUAGGUCUGAACAACUGCCGCAAGACCACUACAUGACUUAGGGAACUUGAAACCAACUGGCUCAUGGAGAAAACAAAUUUGACUUGGGAAAGGGAUUAUGUAGGAAUAAUGUUUGGACUUGAUUUCCCCACGUCAUAAUGAAGAAUGGAAGUUUGGAUCUGCUCCUCGUCAGGCGCAGCAUCUCUGAAGCUUGGAAAGCUGUCUUCCAGCAGCCUCCGUGGCCUCGGGUUCCUACCGGCUUCUCUGCAUUUGGUCUGCUGAUCAUGUUGCCAUAAUGUGUAUGGAAAGUGUAACACAUUCUUACUGGUUAAAGACGACUACCAGGUAUCUAACUUGUUUAACAUUGAGUUUGUGUGUGUGUGUGUAUGUUUGUGUGUUUUGUAUAUUGUUUACAUUUUGAGAGGUAGCAUUCUGUUUCAAAUGCUUUUUGUUUUUCUGACAGUAUUGUUGACUGGGUCAUAACAUUUUGAGCUGUGGUUUGGUGGAUUUUCAAUUUUUUUUUUUAAAGGUCAUUCGCUGUGCUAUCUUCAAAACCUUGAGUUUGGCCCCCAAUUUUUGGCAUUCAAAUGUUUAAAAGCUAUUUAUCUUGGUUUAUACAAGUUUCCUUUCUCUUCUUUUUGUCAUGGUAUUCUAUUUGGUCUGCAGUUUGAAUGUAGAGAAAGUGGACUGAUCCCCCAAGCGUUGUCUGCCCCCACUCUUUCCUCCUUGGGUCCCGCCAUUCUUUUACUGGGCAGUCGAGGGCAUUGGAGGGGAAGUGACUGCCCUCAGCCUCACUCCCUGGGGCCAUGAAGAAAAGCUAAACAGUCUCAUGGCAUCUCAGAAUAAUGUUGGGUCUCCCAAGAAGAAAGGUGUAAGAAUAACGACAUGGCUGAUUAGGCGAGGCCAGGAUAGGGCUAAGGCCAGGAUUCCUGGCUGGCAUCCAGUCACCCCUUCUCCCAUCCUUCCCCCUCUUCUUCCACAAGUCCGCAGCCGAGACACUGUAGUCUCCCAGCCACAGUGAUGAGUGCCCUGGAGACUCCACUGACCUCUAGAUGAAGGCCCCUGGCCCUGGUUCCUGUUAAUUAACCUCUGGGUCUUUGAGUCCCCCAGCACAAACUUCUUUCCUGUACCCUGCGGCUUGGGGUCACAGGGCAUGCCGGGAAGCCACAGCUGAGGGGCGCAGACUGAAGCAGUGCUCCACCUCUCCUUCUUUAGCUCAGGGGUUGCUGGUCUGUGGCAGGCGCCACGAGUGGCCCCUGUGGCUGUUCUCAGUGGCAGUCUCUUAAGUUCCCACCACAGGCAGCUCUUUAUCCCCUCUCCCUACUUGACUCUUUCUCUUGCCUGUGCUUUUGGCCUCAAACAGGCCUGCUGGUAGCGCUCAGGGCGUGAGGCUACACUCCUGCCCUGCCUUUCCUGUCUUCAUGGUCUGCCAGGGCAUACCUUGGGGAGGUGGACCAAAGACCCAGGACUUUUUGCAGUAGCCAGUCCUACCCCCCAGUUGUCUUUUUACCAAUUCAGGGUGGGAGAGAAAACUGCAGCACCCCAGCAUGUGAGUUACUCAGGUGUUGGGGGCUAGAAGGGACAGUGCGUUUAAACAACACUCAGAGCUCUGGCCUUAAACCUGUGGCCCCCCAAGUCUAGGAGCCUCAUCUCUUCCUGGCAGUCAUGCGGGCAGGAGGUCCUGAAAGGGAAAACCCAUUCAGACAACUGUUCCCCAAUCUACCAGCCAUCUGCAGGGGUCAGUGACCGUGGCCCUCUCCCUCCUCUAGAAUGUGCCACUUAUGAAGAGUGCCCCAUGGGGAAAAGGAGACUCAGCUGUCCCUUGGCAGCUUGUGCCAGUAUCCCAGGGCAGAAGUUUCCACAGGAGCCUCUUGCCCUUGCGCAGAGCCACUGUGAGAGGCGGUGGGAGCCAACACCCUUGGGGGAGGGGGCAGUACUGCUCGGCACAUCCCAGCAUCAGGUCAGAUCAUUGAAAUUAAAAAAUGUGAAUUAAGUUCAUAUCCACCUUUUGGGGAAGCAGGACAAACCACCACCCCACCAAGUGUGUGACUUCUCCAUAUCCCACUGCAGUUUCCAUUUUUUAAAUGGGAAUUUUCAAUCCCCUGUGCUUGUCUAACGUCUGCUUUAAAAAGUUUGAGACCCUGUUACUGUUUGAAAAUGCAUGC